AUGUCCCAAGCUCGAAAUUGUUAGGAUACGGAUUUUAGCUAUUGAUCUGACUCCAAAUUAUGAUCAACACUUAACACAAGAGUUGUUACGUCCAAAUCUACACACUGUCGCACCUA